GGAGGAUAUAACUCAGUGGUAGAGCAUUCGACUCCUAAUCGAGAGGUCCUCGGUUUGAGCCCGGGUGUUCCCC